rnacentral:rRNA from 1 species
AUGGUGUUUUGAUCUUCUAUAAAACAUUUGGCCUGCUCACUGAAAAUUAAAGAGCUGCAGUAUUAUGACUGUACAAAGGUAGCAUAAUCAUUAGUCUUUUAAUUGAUGACUGGUAUGAAAGGUUAGACGGAAUUAUUUUGUCUUAAGUUUAUUAAUAGAAAUUUUCUUUUGUGUAAAAAGACACAGGUAAUUUUAAGGGACAAGAAGACCCUUUUAAACUUUAAAGGUUUUAUAUUUUGAUACUAAUAAAAAUUAGAUUAUUUAAAUUUUUUGCUGGGGCGGUAGAUAUGAUUGCGAUAUUAUUAAUAAACGAUUAAUAAAUGGAUUUUAAUUAUGACCCAUUGUUUUGAGUUAAAGAAUAAGUUACUAAAGGGAUAACAGCGUAAUGUUUUUUAAGAGUUCAUAUUGACGGAAAUGUUUGCGA